UUAAGGAGGCAACGUUGGUUUCAGCGGGUCAAUGUCUUCCGCCCUGUUUCCCGGUGGACUAUGACCCAUCCUUAAAAAGGAAUGAAGUUUUGCUAUCUGCUACCCCAUGGACGAAACUCGAAGAUAUUCUGACAAAGAAAAGAAGGCAGACACAAAAGGGGGCACGAGCAUAUUUUCCUGUCUGCUUUAGCAGCAGUUGCCCCCCCAUGGAUUUCCCAAUGAAUCAGAAGCCGCCUCUGCACAGACCCAUAGUCCACAGCUUAACAUCAGAAGACCCAUUUAAAUCUUUGAAGGGAGUAGCCCUUAGAAGAUAAGCUACCGCUGGCAAGGCUCAAACAAAACAAGUUUUUUACAAAUUACAAAAAUGGCCAGUUAUUCCUCUGCCUGAAUCCAAAUUACUUCACAAUGUGACUGCGGGUCCUUCCAUCAAGAAGACUUGUGUACUUCUCUCUUCCUUGAAUCCGGGCUGACCUUGUGAAUUGCAUUAGCAAUGGAAUAGGACAGAGAAAAUAAAAGCGCACAGGACAGGCGUGUGGUAUUGAUGGAUCUGACUUGCCAGACUGGAAGCCCAAGCAAACCUGCCUGGGUCCUUGCCCGGAGCCUGUCAUCAGUCCCUGGGGCCAUUCCCAUUGGAAGCCAGCCUCCGCUGCCAUGGCAGCCUCUGAGCACCUCCAGAAGCUCCAGCACCUCCUGCUGAAUUGCUCCCGGAGGACCCAAGGCAUGAAGAACACCUGCCCUCAUAGAAAAGCUCAAGGAACUACUGCCAGUCGGCUCCAAGCUACAAAGAGCCAUUAGCUGAUAAUGACCCCUGGAAAAGACACUGUCGCUUCGGAAGGCGAUGGGCGGCUAUGUGGCAACCCAGCACAGCUGGUACAGUCUCCUGCAGCUGCCCACCUCCCCAGAGGCACCAGAGCUGUUAUUUGCUGGCUGGCCAAUCUUAGGAACGUCUUUUCUCCGACCUCGCUCCUGUACCUCUUGGAGAGGUUAGCCAAAGGUGGAGCCCUGCCUAUCUGCUUCGUGUUUGCUCUUUAGCGGUUAUUUCAAGGUCAGCCUAACUCACUGGCAGCCAAGCCCCAGGUUACCCAUCAGCUUGGCAUGUGCUCCUGGAGCCCUGAUUCAAAGCACAGUGCUUACUUUGCUCUCCCUCGCUGCACUUCCCAAGGUAUAGACCCGACGAUGCCAGUGUUUGGAGCCUCCCUGCAAUGCCUUACUCGCAACUCACACAGAAGACGGGUGACCCUCCUUGAGAGCGCUUGGCUAAUGCCAAGCAAUUCAAAUCUUGACAGCCUGUGGUGAGAAGGCUCAGCGCCCACCUGGGCCACUAGCUGCCUUGGGAGAACAGGUGUUAUCGAGUCCAUACGGAGGUGGAGCCUCCUGAUACAGCCUUUUCGGGACAUUUGAUGCCUCCAGCAGUAAGAAUGCAGAUGGCUUCUCCCUUUGGCAGCAGUGACAAGAUUGCUUUUGUGUUUGGGUUUGUCCAGACAAGGCUGGAACGCUCAGUCGGGCUUCUCAUUCAACAGUGUGUGUUUCUCUCCUUGGAGGGAGGGAGUCAGGGAGGUAAGUCUGGUUCCUGCUCUGCCACCAGCUUACGUUGGGAGCGCACACAAAGCACAUGACCUCUCUGGGUCUUGGCUGCCUCCUCUAAAUAAAUAAAUGGAGGAGAUUUCUAAGUCUCCUGUGAGUGCCAAGGUUUUAUGAUUCUCUUGAACUCCAGGGAUGCCAUUCCUACCACCUCCCCAUACACACACACACACACACACACACACACACACACACACACACUCAUAGACAAUGCAAACAAUUUUUUAAUAUGAAUCCAAGCAAAAUGUAAUAAAGAAAGUAAAUUUGCUGUCAAAAUUUGCAUAAUGUAGUCUCAAGCCAAGCAGAAAUGGCAUUUGGACUGUUUGCUGUUUUGAAUUAUCUGCACCACCGCACCCCUGCAUUUGUGCAGAUAAUUGGGAGGUGACUGUAUGUGGGGAAGAUACACAGUCGUCAUACGUGGAUCAUAUCACAGCAAUAGUUCUCAGAGUUUGGGUUAACAUGAUUAACUCAGUUGGUGGAGCCCAAGGAAGAGCAUGUUGCAUCUCUAGGUUUUUAUUAUUAUUAUUAUAGUUUUUAAA